rnacentral:tRNA from 1 species
GCUACCAUGGCUCAGUUGGUAGAGCAACUGAUUCGUAAUCAGUAGGUCGUGGGUUCAAGUCCCAUUGGUAGCU